rnacentral:rRNA from 1 species
AUUGAACGCUGGCGGCAUGCCUUACACAUGCAAGUCGAACGGUAACAGGUCUUCGGAUGCUGACGAGUGGCGAACGGGUGAGUAAUACAUCGGAACGUGCCCGAUCGUGGGGGAUAACGAAGCGAAAGCUUUGCUAAUACCGCAUAAGAUCUACGGAUGAAAGCAGGGGACCGCAAGGCCUUGCGCGAACGGAGCGGCCGAUGGCAGAUUAGGUAGUUGGUGGGAUAAAAGCUUACCAAGCCGACGAUCUGUAGCUGGUCUGAGAGGACGACCAGCCACACUGGGACUGAGACACGGCCCAGACUCCUACGGGAGGCAGCAGUGGGGAAUUUUGGACUAUGGGCGAAAGCCUGAUCCAGCCAUGCCGCGUGCAGGAUGAAGGCCUUCGGGUUGUAAACUGCUUUUGCACGGAACGAAAAGACUCUUUCUAAUAAAGAGGGUCCAUGACGGUACCGUAAGAAUAAGCACCGGCUAACUACGUGCCAGCCGCCGCAGUAA